AUCUGGCUUGACUCUUCUGUUCACAGGUGGUCUGUCUGAGGACCUCUGGUGCCACUGACUGCCAGCCAGGGGUCUUCAGACUACAAUCCUGGUUCUGUGACAUACCGCAGAGAUGUUUCACUGGUUAGCAGUUAUGGGUCGGGCCACUGAGGGAGCAUUGUUAGACCUAGCAUAUCAGCAAGAAAACCCUGGCCUGCCACCAUGGAAGGAAGGUCUUCUGGGGAGGCAGGGGUCAGCCACGGGGAGAAGCUCUGAUGAGAGGACUUCAGGCGGGCAAGUCCAUGUACAGUAGUCCAUCAUGGUGGGGACGUCAAGGCAGCUGGAGUCGGAAGCAGUUGUCACAUCACAUCCACCAACAGGAAAAAGAGAAGUGCUCCACGCUGCUGCUCAGCGGUCCUUCUCCACGUCCACAGCCAACGGUCCCAGCCAGGGAAUCCCACCCACACGGACUCACCAUCCCACCUCAGCUAAUACAGUCAAGAUGGUCCCCAAAGGCGUGCCAGGGGCCGGUCUGCUUCUUAGUUUUCACUGCAUAUUAAGGUUUCUGAUGGUUUAAAAUUCUGAUUGUGAAAGUGAAAGUACCAGAGUAAUAGGGAUAAGAGGAAUAAUCACAAGUUGUGCCCCUCAUCAACUGGGGAAAUAUUUGAAGCGUCCCCAGUGCAUGGCUCCAACCAACCAAUGACAGUAGCAAUCUCGGUGUGUACCAUUUUCCUUAUGCAUACAAAUGGGUGGUGAUGCUUGUUUACAAUUUAGGCCCAGUAAGAGAUUAACAGCUACAAAUAGCAGAGUGGAACAGCUGUACCGACACACUGUAUUUAAAGUUUCAUGGGUAGCGCCUCUCUCUCAACUCCUCAUGCUGACAGUAGAUUUGACAGCUAAGGAGGUCACCAUGUGACUAGCAGGUAUAUAAGCAUGGACACACUGCACAGGGAAAGAUUUCCAUCCUGGGCAGACAUAAUGCGGCAACAUCAGACUUCUUCCUGUUAUUCAAAAUGCUGUGCAAUUCAAAACUGUAAUUGCUUAUAAUAUAUUUUCAUUAUAUAUAUG
rnacentral:lncRNA from 1 species